UCAGCACUGCCGCUGUGACUAGGCCAUGAGCUCCUUUAAGGCAAAGAUAAUGUCCUGUUCCUCCCUUUUCUCCAAAGCCAGCAUGUGAGAUGUUUUACGAAGCAUACAUGUAUAACCUGCCUGUUUGGACUCUCAUGAUUAAAGAACUCCUCAUUUUGGACAAAAAAGGGUCUGGUGAUAGUUACAUUUAUGUCAAAUUCAACCAGAUAAAUCCUCACUUGUGUCCCAGCUCUGCUAACUUACAGGGGUAUUAUGGAUGGAGCACCUCCCCUUUCCAUUUUCUUCCCCACCUAAUGAGAAUGUAAUACAUAGCCUUGAUGGCCUCUUGCAGCCUAACUAUAUGAUUCUAACACUGUUCCUUCACUCUUCCCUUAUUUGUAGUGUUAAACUAAUAAUAGUACCAUGAUGAUAGCCUCCUUGUAAGAA
rnacentral:lncRNA from 10 species